rnacentral:rRNA from 1 species
UACGUAGGGUGCGAGCGUUGUCCGGAAUUAUUGGGCGUAAAGAGCUUGUAGGCGGUUUGUCGCGUCUGCUGUGAAAAUCCGGGGCUCAACCCCGGACUUGCAGUGGGUACGGGCAGACUAGAGUGUGGUAGGGGAGACUGGAAUUCCUGGUGUAGCGGUGGAAUGCGCAGAUAUCAGGAGGAACACCUGCGGCGAAGGCGGGUUGCUGGGCCGACACUGACGCUGAGGCGCGAAAGCGUGGGGAGCAAACAGG